rnacentral:lncRNA from 1 species
GUGUGGGGCGGGAGCGGACAACGGAGACCAGACCUACUGCAGCCACGCGGGCGAGCGGCUGUGUGGAUGUCGGCGAAGCCGCGGGCGAGAAUCUCACUGUGUCACCCAGACUGGAGUGUAGUGGUGCAAUCUCGGCUAACUGCAACCUCAACCUCCCAGGCUCAAGCAAUCCUCUCACCUCAGCCUCCCUAGUAGCUGGGACUACAGGAUGCCUGGGGCGUGGGGGGCAGAAUGUCAGCCGGCAAAGUGGGGACCGGAGUACCCGGGAAGCUGGGAUGAAGGAGCCUCCUCUGCAGCCUCGGUGGAAGAUGGGGCCAAGGGAAAGUCCAGAGCCUGGGCCAUCUCCAGCCUCACUCACCCUCCUCCCUCACCUGGUCCCUGGGCUGAGGAUCAUGGCCCGGCCUGAGAACCCCCAAGGCAGCAUGCAGAGGCCGGGUCUGCACCGAGCCCUGACACUGACAGGCUGUGUGACGACGACUGACAACUAACCCUCUCUGGUUUUACUUUCUAUCACCUCUUAGGCAGAGCAGUGGGCGCAGAUGCCAUGGCGGGAAGCAGGCCUUUCUGAAUUCUUAGCAGCGAUCUCCAGGGGCACUCUAACCUUGCAAGAAAGAGGCUGCCAGUCUUGCAUCAGAUGCAGAAACCAGGGCGCAGAGUAGGAGCUAGAGCAUCUUGGAUGGAGAAACCUCGGCAAAGACAAAGGCCCAUUGUCCCCCUUCCCCGGCCUUCUGCCAGCUCCCUCCCCAGUCACCAGAGGAGGCCAGCCCUGCCCACCCCACAGCCCCCAGAGGCUGCCAGGCGCCAAUAUGGGGUAACUCAGCGCCCCCUCCCUUGCCAUUGGUUGACGAUGCCUGGAAUCCCACCAUCAGAGCUUUGUUAAGGUUGCUGUGGGAUGGGUGGCAGGGAGGCAGCAAAAGACAAGAAGGUGGUGGGGACCUCUGGCUUGUGGAUUUCAUAAUCAGACCUUUAUGGUGGGCUUGGGUAGGAGAUCA